rnacentral:lncRNA from 1 species
AAAGCCUGUUCCAAUGCAUUACCACUCUUCCUGAGAAGAUGAGAUAUGGUGGGAGUACCUGGUGACUUUCCUGGGCUUUGGGGCAUGGCAAAUCACAGAAUCACAGUAUUGUAGAGGUUGGAUGGGACCUCUGGAGAUGAUCUAUGCCAACCUCCUACUAAAGCUGGUUCCCUGCAGCAGGUUGCCAUGUUAGGGCUUAGUGCUGGAGGUGAGCACAAGGGCAGCACCAGCUCCAUCAUUACUGUGCUGCAGGUCAACCGAUCCAUAACUCAGGCAAAGCAUUUCUUACAGCAGAGAAGUACAAGCCGAAGAAUUCGACUGGCCAGAUUGGAAUUGUCUUUUUGUCCUUUUGGAAAAAGAACAGCAUAGCAAUUCUUUCACUUUGCCCUCUCCCGUGCUUUACCGGUAGCUGCACUGAAGCUGAUUGAUUAGUUUAAUAACAAGCAGUUGAUAUGCAGCCAUAAAAUUAUGCACUUUUACUCAUCAGCCUGAUUGAAUUCCUCUGCUGACUGUACUGGAACAGCAUGGCAGAGCUAUAAUAAUGAGGGAAGGAGCCAAGGGAAAAGGCAGUGCACUGCUGUUAUUGUUGUUGUUGUAGAGCUGGGGAAGAAAGUGACUCCAGGGAGGAGCUUUUCCAAAAUAAAUACCAAAAUACAGAGGGAAAAUGUUAAGAUGUAAUUAGCCUUGGUAUAAAUGACACUAAACGCCUACUGGGAUUGGAGCUGCUCUGACACCCACCUGGCCUAUGUUGGGGCUGCAGGAGGCUGGAGCCCAGUGGUGCUGGCCCCAGUGAACCCCCAGGUCCUCAAAUAGGGUGAGAGGGGCUGGGCCCUUUGCAAGGCAACCCAGUCUGAUGGGAAGAAAUGGGAGUUCAUGGCCCAUUCUGGCCACGAAGGGAAGGAUGACAUGAUGGAGCUGGGUAAAACAUGCAUGCGAAGCGUUUGCCCCCACCAAGCCCAUGAGAAUGGCAUAUAUGGGGAGAAGACAGCGUGAAUUGAAGGAUCAGCAGGGGCAAGCUUGAGCUGAUGGAAAGCCACGCAGCCCCAUCCAUGCACGGAGACUGGCAUUUAAAACUUCCCAAUAGAAUAUUUCCCAGUGCUGCUCAGCACUCCGGCAUGGCUCGCUCAGCCGAUGGGCUCACUGUCCUGCACACAUUUAUUCAUAAAACUAAUUGGUCUGUGAAUAGGUUGUCUGCUUCUUGUGCCUCUGCUGGUGUCAUUGCUGAGAAACCUUUUAAUUGAACCACUCACAGGCUGCAUUCCCAGCAUGAGCACUGUGCACAGGGAGGCUGGCUGCCUUGGGGCCAUAUCCAGCCUCCAUCGGAGGACCCAAUCCAUAAUUAUCAGGUUCUUCCCUUUGGAACAGAUGUCCCUGAAGGACAGAGUGGGAUAAAGGGAGGGAACAAGUGCUGUUUGGCAAUUAUUAUCUCCCAGAAGAACGUUAGGCAAAUGCUUGCACAGCUUUUCUUGCCUUUCUCCCUGAUUGCACCACAUCCAUGCUGUUCCUGGAAGUGAUGCUUCUCCUUAUUUUCUCCAGUGGGCUUUGGGUCAGGCCAAACAUUUCUUGUAUGAUGCUGCUGGAGGUUACACACAGCUGAUACACCCAAUGGUGCUGCUUCUCCAGCUACCCUCUAGUUAUUAUGGGUGCCCUUGUCUGCGGUCCUUGGGUGGGCUUUCACCCUGGGUCCCCCUAUGCCUAUGGAGCACGUCCAGGGUACUGUCCAUCGAUAUUCCAUAUCAUAACAUCACACCAUAAGGAAACCAGGAAUUACAACCCCAGCAGCCCCAGUACUGAGAACGUAUGACAUGAUGCUAUGAUAUGGAAUGCUGACAAAAACCAUGAUGCUACAUACAGUAUGAGGGUGAAUCAGAUAUUGGGAAGAGGAUCCCCACACAAGCCAAGUCAAGUCAGGUCCUGGGUCACACACAGUUUGCAGCUGGAAGUCCUGCGUACUGUUUUCAGUCUUUAUUGCUGCGUGCCUCCCUAGCAGCCUGCAGCCCUCAUUAGACUUAGUGAAGGAAAACAUGGAGUGUGGAGAUGAAUUCAGAGCGCUGCUGGUGCUAGGGCAAUGCCUUGCUCCACUGCUAAGCACAGCCUAUAGCAGAAGUGAUAGUGCAUUCUUCUGCUCCAUCUAAAGCCAAAGGAGACCCCCACAAACUGCCAACAACUUUUCUUCCUGCAAGUGACAAUGGUGUUAAAAGCUGUCAGGGCUUCCUUAUGCAAUAAAGCUGAAAAACCAAAUUUCACUGCACCUUCAGGCUCCCCUUCCCCCUUUUUUUACCCCAGCCUCUUUUCAACCAAAGCAGAAGUCGAGGAGAAGUUAGCCCAGGGCAGAAGGAGGAAGGUGAGCAGUUGGGGUCAGGAGUCCAGGGAGAAGAUCCAUGGUGGGUAUCUUUAUCCAGGCUUGCAGUGCAGCAGAUCUCAGUCCUCCUUACAGCACUGGGUUACAGACAGAGCAGCACAUCUGGAUUCAUUCUGGGGAUGUCUCACAUUGUCUCCAUGGGUUCUCCUUCCGUUUCUUCAUAGGGAAGGGGAAGGGGAAGGGAAGGGAAGGGAAGGGAAGGGAAGGGAAGGGAAGGGAAGGGAAGGGAAGGGAAGGGAAGGGAAGGGAAGGGAAGGGAAGGGAAGGGAAGGGAAGGGAAGGGAAGGGAAGGGAAGGGAAGGGAAGGGAAGGGAAGGGAAGGGAAGGGAAGGGAAGGGAAGGGAAGGGAAGGGAAGGGAAGGGAAGGGAAGGGAAGGGAAGGGAAGGGAAGGGGAACGAGAAGGGGGGAGAAGGGGAACGAGAAGGGGAAGGGAAGAGAACAGGAUUUAGGAAAAAGAUUUACUCAUACUUUUUAAAAGACUUUUUAUGGGAGGAAAGCGCAGUGAAGCAAAGCACAGGUUUCAGGCGUGCUUGCCUGUGUUUUCUCUCUGCAGAGGCAGCUCUCUGGCUGUGCACUGCAGGACAGUCACUGCCUGUGUUUGCUUCCAGCUCUGUGACCUCCUGCUCUCUCCAAAUGUCACUGCAGUGCUGAGCCCAGCUCCCCCCCGCAGCCCCUUCCGGGCAGGGACACGCUGAGCACCCACAGACUGGAAAGCCUCCAGCUUUCCCAGCUGCACUGGAUCAGAGUUGGGUCUUUCCUGGGCUUUGUUUUGCCGCUGCCCUUUAGCUAUCACUGCUAAACCCACGAUAAGACAAAUAUUUGCCCAGCACUGUGAGCUAUCGAUAGGUAAAUUGCCCUGCACGUCUCACACAGCAUGGGCAGGGGUGCGUGGGCUGGAGCCAGGAAAAUCCCCAUCUCCUCUGACCAAUUGCAGUUUAUGAAAGAUACCGAUUACCCCCCCAGGGAGCUCAUCUUCUGAUUCAGUGCUCAACUUGGCACGCGGGCAGCCUUGCUUUGUAAGUAUAAGGAUUUAUCUACCCUAACUGCAAACCCAGAGCAGCUGAUGGAAGCUGGGGCCUGCUUGUCCCCUCCUCCAGCAGAACGGACCGGAUAGGUCAGCUCAAGGUGCCUCCGUGGACUGCCAAGGUGGCACACAGGGUUUGGUGUGGGGGAAGACACGCUGCUGUCCUUCAAGUGCAUCCUAAUCAUCUGUCAGCUAAAAGCUCUCCCCAUGACCAGAUGGGACCGUCCUUUCUUGGAACACCACCAGCUAGUCAACACCUGUCUGAAGGCAACCAUUAAUUUUUCAUCCAGCACUGAAUUCAUCCAUCCCCACCACACCGAUCUCCUAAAUGGAGCAAUUUCAUUUUCAAUGCAUGAUAUUUCGUGCUCGGAAAUUACCAGCUGUGUAUUCAGGAGCACUAAUGCUAUUCUGCUACUACAGUGCAGGUUUCUCAGAUUGAAAGCUCUGUCAGCCAAAGUGUUUUAAUUUCUGCAUAUUAAAGACCGGAGCUCUUUUCCACUUGAAUUCAAUGGCUCAUAGUGGAUCCCCACCACUACCCACUCUUGGGUAAUGUUAGCUCAGAGAUGCGAAGGCAUGAAAGAUUCUCUGGCUCUGAGCUAGCAAUAAAUCUUAAAUGGAAUGUAGGUUUCUUUUUAUUAAUAGGUGUCCUUUGCUCCCUUUUCUCCUUUCUUUCUUCCUCAACACACAGCCCUACGCUGUUGCUCUCCACUUGUGCAAAUUCCUCAUUUGUCACUCCCAGCUCCCCGCAGCACUAUACAAGCUACUGAAAAAGCUCUCCUCCUCCUUUGUCACAUCAGUUCAAUCUGCUCCUGUCACACAAAAUCUGCUUUUGUUUUGCACUCGCUUUGCUUUACUCCUGCCCGUUUUGUUACCAGUUUGUUACCUUUCUGCUUGAAUUUCACAAUUUGCAGCCAAAGAGGAACCCAAAAGCCUUCCUACCCAGGAGCUUUUGUUAUCUGCCCACCUUUGUCUUCCUCCACAAAACCUGAGCAUGUCACAGGGGCGACAGAUCAACCCACUAUUUUUUUCCUCCGUCCCUCAGAAUAAUUUCCCAUCCACAUCUCCUGCCAAUUUAUUGCCUCCUCAAACUCACGGGGUCUCCGAAGCCUUUGCUGACCUGCGUAACUCCAUGUGAUGCUCCAUCUGUUGUUGACUUCUAUGUGUUUACUCGAUAAAGAGAAAUCUGAAAAAAAAAGAGGCUUGGAGGUCUGGCCAACAUCACUGUCAUUCCUCAAAAACAAGGCCUGCUGUGGAUAGAGCUCUGACACUGAUCUGCUCCAGCCUGCUCUGGUUCAACCCUGGGGAUGCUGGUUUUAGGUAUGGGGCACAUGGGUCGCUAUGGUAGAAGCUGCUCCUCAUGACAGCCCAUAACUCUCUGGUCUCAGUUUGGACCAGUCCCUGUGAACCUGUUUUAAUGGGGAUCAGACCUCAGUAUUUUGUCUUAACCAACGUUCUGCAUUCAGAUGUAGACUGGACCGAAGGUGUGUCCUGGUUUGUACAUACAUAAUUCCCUCUCUGUUCUGUCUCCAUAUAGGCAUACAAGAUGCCAACACUGGAACUGGACCUCCGGGUCAAGUAUAUUUAUACAUGUGUGUAUAUGCACAUGGCUGGUGAGGUGUAUUAAAAACAGUUUAUUUCAGAAAUAGCAUCAUUUUUCCUGGCGGAGGAGAACAGCUUUUCUUAUUUUCUGUGCCACUCAUAUUUUUGGUCUUAGCGAGGCAAAAUGCCAGGGAAUGACAACAUGUUUACCUAAGAGCAGCUAAAAGAGCUGCGUAGCAAUCAAGGUAUCGAGUGGGUUGGGCUGAAAAUAGAUCAGCUUGGAAGGAUUUUGGUCAGAAAUGUUCAGCAAGGGACUAGAUGGCUGUGAGCACUGGUAACAGCCUACAGAGACUUUCAUUUUGGAGGAAUAUAUCUCCACCUUGCUCCAACUAAUUGCUGCAAUGCUUUUGGACAGCAUCUGUGGUCUGCCUUGCUGACUCACUGCACCAUUUCCCCAUCUGCGAGGAGUGAAUUGUGCUCUUCUAUUCUUUGAGGUUUAGCUUUCUAGGUGAGGAGACACGUGGAGCAUCCCCUGCACCAAUGCUGAGCAAGGCUCAUGCUCCUUCCUCCAACCCUGAACCUUACUGUGAAACGAGAAUCGUUGUUGGGAACAAGAUAUCUGGGGAAUGGGAAACAUCUCUUUCUGCAAAAAUCUGUUUUGAAAUGUGUUUGCGACCCCACUGAGACAACACUGUGUCCUUUACCUCAGUCCUUCUGGAGUAAUUGUUUUUGUUUAAUCCUCGUAGCUCUCAUUAAGAAGUCCCCCAACUCUUCUCAAGACCAGGUUGUGUGGGGCACUGGGCAACCUGAUGCAGUGAGUGGCAACUGUGCCCAUGGCACUGGGGUUGGAGCUGGGUGGGCUGUAAGGUCCCUUCUAACCCAAGCCAUUCAAUGAUUCAAUAAUUCAAAUAUUCUAUGAUUCUAUGACGAAGUUUUGUCUCUGCCUUCCUUGAUGAGCAGACAGGCUCUGCCCUGUGCCAAGCCUAACUGACCCACGUGAUUACCAAACUAUUUGCCCGUGGCUUCACAUAUCUCACUUUAUACACUACCUUGUGCCAGCUUUCAGCUCUGGGCAUGUCUGUUCCACUAUUGUGGCCCAGGGUCUGGCAUGUCUCUUGGCACCCUGACAGCCACGACAGAUUACAGCAGAAGUGUUCAGCAGGUCCAGGAAAGCUUUCAGCCUGCAAAAAGAAAACACGAACACGGCGCUGUCUUCUAAGGUGUGGGUAUGAGACAGGUCUGGUCCCGGACCCUGGGCUCAGGUCCAGGCAAUGUGAACAACAUCGCCAUGUCUUUGCAGUGCUGAUCUCUUCUGUCAUAAAAUCCAAGUCCUCUGAUGGUCAGGGUAUUCUAGCACAACUCAAACGCAACGACAUCGGCCAUGCAAUUCUUCUUAAAGAUCUUGCAAACACUAUAGGAGGAUCAGCACCUCGCCAGAUGACUUCUGCCCAUCAGAGAGACCGGCCAAUGGCCACACGUUGACAUCUCUAAGUGAGCCCCGAGGGGCUGGUUCCUCAGCCUUGGGCAGCCACGGGCUGCAGUUCUGUGGAAAACAAAUAGCAAAUAUAUGAAUAUGACCUUCCAUCAUCAAUCUGAUGGUCCUUCCUGGAUGCUGGGGGGGAAGCAUGAUGGGAUUUUCCUGCCCAGAAGCAACAAUAGACAGGGAUGUGUUCUUUUUCUCGAAUCCUUUAGUUGGAAGGGAAUGUGAAAGGCAAUGUCAAGUUUGGCAUAGAGACUACACUUAGGUUUUUAGCAUAUAACCAAACAUUACAGAUCUACAUGUUGUGAUGAGUGGACUAGGUGAUCUCAGUGGGUUUUUCCAACCUUAAUGACUCUAUGAUAACAUCUUUUCUCCUUCUGUGCUUGGCUAUCAGAAAUGGAGGAGUAGGUUGGAGGAUUACAUCCUUACCCGUGGCACAGCUAUGUGCAGUCUGGGAAAGACCUCGAGUCCCACCUGCAGAUUUGCAUUAGUGUGGAUGGAUUUCAGCUGUAGGAUGAUUUUUAGGCCACCCUAGAUGUCAUCAGGCAUUCAGAUUGGAGAAUCACUGCUUAAGAGAUGACAAUUUUGGAAACUUUUUUGGAAGCUUAUAAGACAUGGUGUAACUCCUGCAGGAACUUGGUUAGUUGCAUGGAACAGCUCAUGCACCUCCAGUUAUUAAAUCAGUAAUUUAACCUUAACUCUAAGCCCAUAGGUGCAACCACAGAACACUUCUUAGUAGAGGUUAUUCAUUACAUAGACAUUCUCAGUUUUGGCCUUGAAAUGGACAAAAGUCAUGAAAUUGGAGAUAUAGUAGUGCUGUUUCAGUGAUAAAAGGUAUCUGCCAAGAUCAGAGUCCCUGUGUGUUCAUAGCACCCAAAUUUUAGCUCCAGAUGGACUGUUUGGACAGGCUGCUCAACAUUUUGGGCAAAGGUAUUGCACGCAGCACAUUGACUAUGAUAAGCAGACACAGCUGCAGUCCAGCCCACUGGCUGCAGAGAUGCUGUAAGGAUGCUUCAUUUUAGCUUGCAGUGGGGACACAAAAGCACUCACUUGCUUGGGGCCCAGGAGCUUGAUCCUGCUCACCAGCAAGGUCCCCAGGUGCCCAAUAAUCUCUGCAUAAGUAAGGGCAGAUGUCAGCCCAUCAGCCAGUUCCAUACUUGUUUGCAUUUCAAUGUGCAUUUAAAAAAAAUACCAUGACUGGAUAACACUCUCCCAGAGACCACUUUAUGUCAUAUCAACUCAGUCUAAUGCCACAUUCAGAACUUCUUAGCAAACCUGGGAGAAUUAUUUGCAGGGCUACUGAAAUUCAAAGAAAAGCUUCAGUCAAGGACUCCUUGGGUUUUCCAGGCAGAGCUUGUGUAGUUAUCAUAGGAAUCCUGUUAUUUCACAGGAAAUAGUUUCUCAUCCUUGGAGGCGCUCAAGCCCCUGGGCUCAAGGUUGGAUAGGGCCCUGGGCAACUUUAUGCACUGGGAGGUAUCCUUGCCCAUGGCAGGGAGCUGGAACUGGAUGGUCUUUAUGGUUCCUUCCAGCCCAAGCCAUUCUAUGACAAUGGACACAAGAGAAUCCAUCCAGGGGCUGUUGGCUGUACAUCUAGGGAAGGUCAGGACACUUAGGAGAAUCAAUUGUCCUUCUAAGCACCAGUCCUAUGGCUUCCCAAGGAGCGAGGAGAUCAGUUAGUGACCCCAGUGGCUCACUCCCUAUAUAAUCUCAGACUGAUAACACUUUUUUAGAGGGUUUUCAAUAAGUGUCUACACCUCUUUGUCUUCUCUUCUCAGCUCCACACGCUCACGACAGGGACCUUGCUAUCUCCAGCCAAGGAAGGUGCUAAUGCACCACAAAUGUGCCAUUUCUCUGGCAUUUGGGUUAUCCGGGUCAGCAUCUCUGCAGGUCAGAUGCAUAUAGCAGCCAUGCUCCAGCGUGGACAUAAUAACCACGAUGUUGGGAGGCCCUGGCAGUGAUUGUAAGUUUGGUGACUUCAGCUGUUUGGACAAGGCACAUGCGUAGGUGUUGGAGGGCUCAUGAGUUGCUUCAUUAACAGACCCUGUCCCUGGCACAUCAGGCUUCACGCCGUGUGCUUUGCUUCCACACAGAGCAGUUCAUCCAUCUGGACAAGAGCAGGGUUGGCUACAAAGCCAAGCUGCAGGAGGGAGCAAGCAGUAAUCUUCAACCCAAACCAUCGCUGCUGUCGGAUGAAUCCCUAACCUGUGCUCCCAGCUGGCCAACAGGAGCUUGCAAGGCUAAUUUUAUGUCUCUAGCUUCAGGUUACAGCCUGGCACCUUAAAAUAAAUCAGCACUGAGUUUGGGUUAACUUAAAAAAAAAAAACCUGGGCGGCAGGUUAGGGAUGGAGAAGAAAAUACACUGUGGAAGACUUAAGUGAACAGAGAAAGAGGCAGCCCCAGCAAUGUUGUCAACCCAAGCAUGACUCUGGCAUUGGGAAGCAGCAAGGAUAGGAGCCCUUGGGCAAAGGGGCGGCUGAGAAGAGGAUGGGAGCCAUGAGCAAAGCACUGUGCCUCUGCUCUGGGUACAAACUGUGCUCUGCAGAAGCCAAUCUGAACCAUAGUUUCUCUUGUUGCCACUGUUUCUUGUUACCAGUGUUCCUCUUCUUUCUUGCUUUCCCCCUGCCAAAGGAGCAGUCGUCCUGAAAACUAGGAAUUAUUGUGGGGAGAAUUAUUUAGGAAAUGAUCCUUUUUUUUUUUUUUUUUUUUUUUUUUUUUUUUUUUUUUUUUUUUGCAAAAUGGGAAAUUAAAAGAAAAAAAGAUAAUCGGAUAUUUUCUCUGCUCAGGAACAGUGAGGGGAGAAAUGCCUGCAAGUAAGAAAUGCCUUCUCCUCGCUUUGUUGACUGCUGGAACAGAAGCAAAUGGAUGAAUCAGAAAUAAGGAAAAGCGAGUUGUGAGCAGUGAGUCCGAAGGCUGUCUGCUGCUCAUCUGCUUCCUCGGAGCAGGCAGUCUCCCAGGACAGCUUCAGGUAGCAUCUGACCAUGUCUCCCAGCUCAUCUGCGUGUGGGUUCGGGGUGUGCUGGAGCUCAGCUAAACCUGCCAGCCAUUUGGAGCUGGCUUCCCCGUGCACACGCCGAGGACAGCUCGGCUGGUUGGACAGAGCAUUGCAAAGCCGCUUUCUAGGAAAGAAGCUUUGCACAACAGAAGGGAAAAUAGGUCGUUGUCAAGGUUUAGGGCAUUUGCAGAAGAAAGUAAACAAGGGGGUGAGAUGGGAGGACGGCUCGGUUGUGAUCCCUGACAAACCUUUCCACAUGCACAAGGGAGGAAUCGGUGCCCCGUGACACCCACAGGUGCUCUUUGGGGCACAGCUUGCUCCUAUGCAUGGUGCACUUAGAGCAGAUGCACCCCCUGGCAACACUGCUGAUGGGAGCAGGAGGUUACGGGAUGGUGCUGAGCAGUUUGCUGGGGCAAGCAGAAGGCUCCAGGUCCACGGGUUUCACUGUGUGGGGGUUUCGGUGUCACAAUCUCUGGUUGUGCCCCAAGGGACCCUCUGGAGACUCCAACCAGGGCACCCCAGCAGCCUCUUCCCACUGGCUCCUCCUCACCGCAGUCCUACAGAAAUCCCCAAACCAAGACAACAAAUAACAACCACCAACCCACUGCAGAAGCACCACAAGUCCCUAAAAACACCCUCAGCCUUCCACCAGCAACACCCCCGGGAGAGCUCAGCCGCCUCCCUGUGUGCUCCCCAACCCCAUUACCACCCUACCGACCCCAGCGUGGAGUUGGGGCUGCGGGGGGGAGGUGAACAAGGUCGUGGGCUCAUGCACUGCCAAGGAACGCUCUGUGCUCACGGUCUGCAGGGCAGCGGGGGCUCCUCUCCCACCCCACACAUCUGCCAGCCGCCUGGCCCUGCCGCCAGCCGCCCCAGUACAUCUUGUUUGUGUUUUUCCGCGAGCACACUCCCAGCGGGUUAUGUCAGAGGUGAGGAAUGCAGGGCCACCCUGUGUCAUGAGAUCAGACUUACAUUUUUAGGCUGAAGGCUUUUUACCGUAUUUUCUGGGAAGCAGCGCGCCCGCGGGGCCCCGGAGGGGUGGGAGAGUUCCCUUCGCCUCCAUCCCUUCUUCCCAGCCCUCGGACGGGAGGAGCGGAUGGGGCCCGUCUGCUGGAACAAGCUCUCCCUCUGUUCCUUGC